GAUGAACGCUGGCGGCGUGCCUAAUACAUGCAAGUCGAGCGAACAGAUGAGAAGCUUGCUUCUCUGAUGUUAGCGGCGGACGGGUGAGUAACACGUGGGUAACCUACCUAUAAGACUGGGAUAACUCCGGGAAACCGGGGCUAAUACCGGAUAAUAUUUUGAACCGCAGGGUUCAAUAGUGAAAGACGGUUUCGGCUGUCACUUAUAGAUGGACCCGCGCCGUAUUAGCUAGUUGGUAAGGUAACGGCUUACCAAGGCGACGAUACGUAGCCGACCUGAGAGGGUGAGCGGCCACACUGGAACUGAGACACGGUCCAGACUCCUACGGGAGGCAGCAGUAGGGAAUCUUCCGCAAUGGGCGAAAGCCUGACGGAGCAACGCCACGUGAGUGAUGAAGGUCUUCGGAUCGUAAAACUCUGUUGUUAGGGAAGAACAAAUUUGUUAGUAACUGAACAAGUCUUGACGGUACCUAACCAGAAAGCCACGGCUAACUACGUGCCAGCCGCCGCAGUAA
rnacentral:rRNA from 1 species